rnacentral:rRNA from 1 species
UACGAAGGGGGCUAGCGUUGCUCGGAAUUACUGGGCGUAAAGGGCGCGUAGGCGGAUGUUUAAGUCAGAUGUGAAAGCCCAGGGCUCAACCUUGGAACUGCCUUUGAUACUGGACAUCUUGAGUACGGGAGAGGUGAGUGGAACUCCGAGUGUAGAGGUGAAAUUCGUAGAUAUUCGGAAGAACACCAGUGGCGAAGGCGACUCACUGGCCCGUUACUGACGCUGAGGCGCGAAAGCGUGGGGAGCAAACAGG